AGUGAAAUUUGAUGACAGCAAGAUAAUGGAGCAGAGCAACUAUGACUUAGAUUUGGUGGCAACAGGAACAUGAAGCAGAGCAACUGUAAUUGGAAUGUGGUGACAACAGCAAAGGAGCAGAGCAACUGUGACUGGGAUUUGAUGGCAGUAAGAACAUGGAGCAAAGCAACUGCGACCAGAAGGUGAUGACAACAAAGUGGAACAGGAUAACUAUGACCAGAAUGUGGUGACAACAGGAAUAUGGAGCAGAACAAUUAUGACAGGAAUCUGUAAACUACAAAGCAUAGAGCAGAGCUGCUGUGAAGUCAAUUUGGUGACAAGAAGACUGAUGCAGAAAAAGGGCAGCUGUGGUAUAGAGGUCUUAACAGUAGAAACAAAAGUAAGAGCAAGUGUAACAGAAUGUGGUGGCAACAGCAAGAUAGAGCAGACCAACUUCAACUGGAGUCUGGUGACAGGAAGAAUAAAAUGAGCAACUGUGACAGCAUUGACAGAGAAGUGACUAGGAUUUAUUGACAACAGGAGCAUGAAGCAAAGCAAAUGUCACUGGGUUGUGGUGGCAAUAGGAAUAUGGAUGAGCUUUGAAUUCAGGUGAUACUACAGAAGGAAGAUAAAGUGGACCAGCCGUCAGGUGGUGAUGACUAGAUGGAGUAUAGCAAGUUGACUGAGAAUUGGUUUCAACAAGAAUGUGGAGCAGAACAACUGUGACAUGUGAUGGCAACAAGAACAUUGAGAAGAGCAACUGUGAGUAGAAUGUGUUGAUAACAGCAAGGUGGAGUAGAACACCUAUGAUUAAAUUGUGGAAAUGAGUGGAACAUGGAGCAGGGUAACAGUGACUGGAGUGUGGUAACAACAGGAAUGUGCAGCAAGGGACAGCAGGAAGAUGGACGAGCAACUGUGACUGGCAUGUAGUGAUAUGAAGAUACACAAGUGCAACUCUACUUGAGAACUGGUGAUGAUAAAGGGUAACUGCAUUUGGUAAUGACGACAUCAUGGAACAGGGCAGCAAUGGCUGGGAUUUGUUGAAAAGAGAAACAUGGAGCAGAGCAACUGUGGUGGUUAUGAUGACGGCAGGAAUAUGCAGAGGGGCAACUGUGAGAUAAAGUUGUUGACAACAGGAACAAACAGAAGAGCAACUAUGACUAGAAUGUAGUGACAAUAGCAAAAUGAUGAAUGGAACAUAGAACAGAGCAACUUCAACUGGAAUGUAGUUACAGCAGAGGGAGGGAGCAAAGCAACUGUGAAUUGAGGUGUCAUGACCAAUUUGACAUAGAGGUGGUGACAGCUAAGCAACAAUGACGUUUGUAAUGGCAACAGGAAGAUUUAAAGAGUAACUGAAUGACAUGUGACGACUGGUAUAUGGUAGAGACUGACUGGAAUAUGCAGACAUGGAGCAGCUGUGACAUAGAAGUGCUGAUAAAAGGAAGAAACAAAAGAGCAACUAUGACCAGAAUGUAAUAAAAACAGCAAGAUGGAGUGCAGCAUCUCUGACGGGAAUGUGGUGAUGAGUGGAAUAUGGAGCAGAGCAAUUUUAACUGGUAAAAAUAUUUGAGCAGAGCCACUGUGGGCUAUGGUCAUCAAAACAGCAUGGAAGAGAGCAAGUAUGAGUUAAAGUGCAGGAAGAUGGCAGAAAAUGAGGUGUAAUCAAGAUGUGGUGGUAACGAGAACAUGGAGCAGAGCAAUGGUGGCUUGGAUUUGGUGACAACAGGAAGAUGAAGAAGAACAACUAUGAUGGAUGUGUUGGCAACAAGAACAUGGAAGAGCAGCUGUGACAUGUAUGUGUUGACAUCAGGGACAAACAGAAGAGCGGCUGCGACUGGAAUGUGGUGACAGCAGGAAGAUGAAAGUGAGCAACUGAAUUGUAGUGGGGUGAUCACAAGAUGACAUAAAAAGUGGUGAAAUAGAAGUUUUGACAGCAGCAACAGUGACGUAUGUGAUGGCAACAGAAAGAUUGAAGUAGAGCAACUGUAGGAUGUAGUGAUCAGGGCAGCAUGGAAAAGAGCCACUGUAUCUGGUAUAUGGUGACAACGAAUACAUGGAAGAGAGCAGCUAUACCGUGAAUGGAAUAUGAAAACUGCAGGAACAUGAAGCAAACCAAGUGUAACUUGGAUUUUGUAUCAGGAAGAUGAAGAGCAGCUGUGAGAUAGAGGUGUUGACAACAUGGACAGAGAAGCAGCUGUGACUUGAAUGUGAUGAAAACAAGAUGGAAUGGAGCAGAGCAAUUUCAACAUGAAAUUGGUGACAGCAAAAAGAAGGAAGUGAACAACUGUGAUGUAUGUGAUAACAACAAAAAGAUUGGAGCAGAGCAACUGGGAUAUGGUGAUCAGAGCAUCAUGGGAGAGAGCAAUAAUAAAAGGAAUGUGACAAUAGGAAGAUGGAUGAUAGCAAGUGUGGGUUGAGGUGCUGAGAUUGCAGGAAGAUGAAGCAGAGGAACUGUGAUGUAUGUGAUGGCAACAAGGUUUGGAGAACAGCUGCAACAACUGGUACAUGGGAGAGAGUGACUAUGACUGGAAAAUACAGAAACAUGGAGCAGAACAAUCAAAAUGUGACUUGAAUUUGGUGACCACAGGAAAAUAAAAAAAUGCUACUGUCAUGGAUGCAUUGGCAACAGGAAGAUUAGAAGAAUGACUGACUGGCAUGAGGUGACAACUGGUACAUGGGAGAGAGCAACUGACUGGAAUAUGGAAACUACAAGAACAUGGAGCAGGGCACCUGUGAUGGCAACAGGAACAUUGAAAAGAGUAGCUAUGACAUAGAAGUGUUCACAACAGGAGCAAACCGAAGAGGAACUAUGACUAGAAUAUGGUGACAACAGCAAGAUGGAAUGGAACAUCAAGCAGAGCAACUUUAACUGGAGUGUAGUGACAGCAGGAAGAGAGACGUAAAAAACUGUGACCAAGGGAACAUGAAACAUGGAGCAGAACAACAAUGUUAGAAAUAUGGAAACUGCAGGAACAUGGUGCAAAGCAACCUUUACUGGAAUAUGGAGGCUACUGGAACAUAAAGCAGAGCAAAUGUGACUUGGAUUUGGUGUCAAAAGGAAGAUGGAGAGCAACUGUGAUGGAUGUGUUGGCAAGAGGAAUAAACUGAAGAGAAAAAGUGAGCAGAAGUUAGAGUGGAACAUGGAGCAGAGCACCUUGAACUGGUGAUGACAGCAGGAAGAAGGAGGUGAUUGACUGAGAAUUGCGAUGUCAUGACCACAGUAUGACAUAGAACAGUGAUGACAGAAGUGCAACAGUAACAUCUAUGAUGACGAAGAUUUGAAGAACAACUUGUACAUGUGAGAAAGUGACUGACAGGAACAUGGAGUAGAACAUCUGUGGCCUGAAUGUGAUGAGAACAGCUAGAUGCAAUGGAGCAACUAUGACAAGAAUGUGGUGAUAGCAGAAUAAUGGAAUUGAGCAACCUCGAUGUAUGCGAUGGCAGCAAAAAGAUUGGAGUGGAGCAGCUGUGAGUUGAGAUGCUGAGACUGCAGGAAAGUGAAGCAGAACAGCUGUUAGAGGUGGCAGCAGCAAUGAGAAGACGGAGAAAAUAGUGUAAUCAAGGUGAUGUGGCAACAUAAACAUGGAGCAGAGCAACUGACUGAGAUUUGGUGGCAGCAGUGACAUAGAAUGGAACGCCUAAACUGGAAUGUGGUGAUAACAGGAGGAUGAAGCAGAGCAACUGUGCCUGGCAUGUGGUAACAACUGGUACAUGGAAGAGAGCAACUCUGAUUGAAAUAUGGAAACUGCAGGAACAUAAAGCAGAGCUUAGCAUAAACAUUUACUGGAAUAUGGUGGCAACAAGAACAUGGAGAAGAGCAACUGAGUAGAACAUCCUACAGAGCAACAGAGUAGAACAUCCUACAGAGCAACUUUAACUGGAGAAUGGAGGCAGCAGGAAGAUGGCAGUUAGAAACUGAAUUGAGGUUUUGUGAGCUCAAGAUGACAGAACUGGUAAAAUAGAGGUGGUGGCAGCAGAGCAACUGUGACAUGUGGUGACAACAGGAAGAUUUGAAGAAGAACUGUGACAAGGAAAACGUGGAGCAGAGCAACUUAAACUGAAGUGUGGUAACAAGAAGAUUAGAGUGGACCAGCAUGGAAGAGAACAACUUAGUCUAGAACAUGGUAGAGAGCAACUGAGUUGAGGUGCUGGAAGGUGAAGCAAAGCAGCUGACAGAGAGGUGGUAAAACAUGAAGAUGGAGAAAAUGAAGUGUAAAUCAAGAUUUGGUGGUAGCAGAAUCAUGGAGCAGGACAACUGUGACUUGUGGCAAUUGGUAUAUAGGGAGAGCAACUAUGACUGGAAUAUGGAAACAUGCUGGAACGUGGUGCAGAGCAACUGUGACAACAGGAACAUCAAGCUGAGUGAGUGUGACUUGGAUUUGGUGAUACUAGAACAUGAAGAAAAGCAACUGUGUUGGCAACCAGAGAAGAGCAGCUCUAAGAUGUGUUGACAAUAUUAACAGACAGAAUAGUAACUGACUAGAAUGUGGUGACAUGUGGACCAUGAAGUAGGGUAACUUUAGAGUGGUGACAGCAGGAAGAAAGUAACUGUGACGUAUGUGGUGGCAACAAUAAAAUUUGGGGAACAGCUGUUAGUAAGAUGUGGUGAUCAAAGCAGCAUAGAAGAUUUGAAGAACUGUGACUGGCAUGAGGUGACAACUGAUAUAUGGGAGAGAGCAACUAUGACUGGAAUAUGGAAACUACAAGAACAUGGAACAGGGCAACAGGGACAUUGGAAAGAGUAGCUGUGACAUAGAAGUGUUUACAACAGGAGCAAACAGAAGAGCAAUUGCAACUAGAAUAUGGUGACAACAGCAAGAUAGUGUAGCAACUGUGAGUGGAACAUCAAAUAGAGCAACUAACUUCAACUGAAGUAUGGUGACAGCAGGAAGUGAGAUAUGAAAACUGACUUCAGAUUUUGUGACCAAGACAACAUGGAGCAGCAGUGACAACGGAGCAACUGCAAAGCAUGUAAUGGCAACAGGAAGAUUUGGAGAACAACUGUGACUAGGAUGUGAUCCGAAGAGCAUGGAAGAGAAUGAUUGUGGUUGGUAUGUGGUGGCAACUGGUACAUGGGAGAGAGUGACUGUGGUUGGAAUAUGGAGCAGAAGAAUUUUUACUGAAGUGUCAUGUUAAGAAGAUGGAAAUGGGGCAACUGUACCUCAGAACUUGUGGUAAAGAGUGAUUGAUGCAUGUGGUAACAACAAGAAUGUAGAG